rnacentral:rRNA from 1 species
CACGUAAGGUGCGAGCGUUGUUCGGAAUUAUGGGCGUAAAGGGCAUGUAGGCGGUCCGGUAAGUCGGGCGUGAAAUGACGGGGCCCAACCCCGACGCUGCGUCCGAUACUGCUGGGCUUGAGUCAGCGAGGCGGAGGCGGAAUUCCUGGUGUAGGGGUGAAAUCUGUAGAUAUCAGGAAGAACACCGGUGGCGAAGGCAGCCUCCGAGCGCAUGACUGACGCUGAGGUGCGAUGGUGCGGGGAGCGAACA